rnacentral:rRNA from 1 species
AUUGAACGCUGGCGGCAUGCCUUACACAUGCAAGUCGAACGGUAACAGGUCUUCGGAUGCUGACGAGUGGCGAACGGGUGAGUAAUACAUCGGACCGUGCCUAGUAGUGGGAGAUAACUACUCGAAAGAGUGGCUAAUACCGCAUGAGAUCUACGGAUGAAAGCAGGGGAUCGCAAGACCUUGUGCUACUAGAGCGGCCGAUGGCAGAUGAGGUAGUUGGUGGGAUAAAAGCUUACCAAGCCGACGAUCUGUAGCUGGUCUGAGAGGACGAUCAGCCACACUGGGACUGAGACACGGCCCAGACUCCUACGGGAGGCAGCAGUGGGGAAUUUUGGACAAUGGGCGCAAGCCUGAUCCAGCAAUGCCGCGUGCAGGAUGAAGGCCUUCGGGUUGUAAACUGCUUUUGUACGGAACGAAAAGCCCUGGGUUAAUACCCUGGGGUCAUGACGGUACCGUAAGAAUAAGCACCGGCUAACUACGUGCCAGCCGCCGCGGUAACAC